ACUUUGCGAUAGAUUUGAACUUAUCCAUAACAGAAAAUCACAAAAUCACAAAAUGUGCUUAUUGUGAUAACGUAAGGGAAAAAAAUGAUAUUACCUUACUAAAAGUGUUGUCUAAAUAACUGGUGCCAGAAGACUCGGUAACACCAGAAACGCGAACGUUAGUCGUCUUAAACAGGCGUAAAGGGUAAGUAGGCUGCUUUAAAAAUCUAUUUAAAAUAAGCUAAAAUUAAUAAAAAUUUUCAGGCCUUAAGUUAUAAAUACAGGCUAAUUUAAAAUGAAAAUAAGGUAUUUUAGUAUCGCAGUACUAAUAAUAUAAUUAUUUAAUGGAACAAAAAUAAAUAACUUAAAGCUAGAAUCAUAAUUGAGAUAAACCAAAUAAUACUUAUGUGUAAGGGCGAUAUCUGAAAAUACUAAGUAGAAUACUAACGGUGAAAACUUUUUAUCUGGUAAUGAUUGACGCUGAGGUACGANAGUGAGAACAGGGAAUACGAUUAGAUACCCAGUUACCUCUCACCGUCAGCGAUGAAUGGUAGUUGUGAGUCUAAUUAUAUUAGUGACGAUGUUAACGCGAUACCAUNCCGCCUUGAGAGUACAGUUGCAAAACUGAAACCUAAAAAAGUUAGUCGGUCUCGGAGCCAAACGGAGUGANGCAUGGUACUUUAGUUCGAUAUC
rnacentral:rRNA from 1 species